AACGAACGCUGGCGGCAUGCCUAACACAUGCAAGUCGAACGAGACCUUCGGGUCUAGUGGCGCACGGGUGCGUAACGCGUGGGAACCUGCCCUUAGGUUCGGAAUAACUCCCCGAAAGGGGUGCUAAUACCGGAUAAUGUCUUCGGACCAAAGAUUUAUCGCCUUUGGAUGGGCCCGCGUUGGAUUAGCUGGUUGGUAGGGUAAAAGCCUCCCAAGGCGACGAUCCAUAGCUGGUCUGAGAGGAUGAUCAGCCACACUGGGACUGAGACACGGUCCAGACUCCUACGGGAGGGAGCAGUGGGGAAUAUUGGAAUAUGGGCGAAAGCCUGAUCCAGCACUGACGCGUGAGUGAUGAAGGCCUUAGGGUUGUAAAGCUCGUUUACCCGGGAUGGUAAUGACAGUACCGGGAGAAUAAGCUCCGGCUAACUCCGUG
rnacentral:rRNA from 1 species